rnacentral:rRNA from 1 species
UCCAGCAGCCGCGGUAAUACGAAGGGUCCUAGCGUUAAUAGGAAUUNCUGGGCGUAAAGCGUGGGUAGGCGGUUUUUUAAGUCAGAUGUGAAAUCCCCGGGCUCAACCUGGGAAUUGCAUUUGGAACUGGCGGACUAGAGUGGGGUAGAGGGGGGUGGAAUUCCAGGUGUAGCGGUGAAAUGGGUUUAUAUCAGGAGGAAUACCGGUGGCGAAGGCGGCCCCCUGGACAAACACUGAACGCUGAUGCACGAAAGG